AUUUAUGUAGUUUAAACAAAACAUUACAUUUUCACUGUAAAAAUAUUAACUAUAAUCAUAAAUU
rnacentral:tRNA from 1 species